AUUGAACGCUGGCGGCAUGCCUCACACAUGCAAGUCGAACGGCAGCACGGGAGCAAUCCUGGUGGCGAGUGGCGAACGGGUGAGUAAUAUAUCGGAACGUGCCCGGUCGUGGGGGAUAACGUAGCGAAAGCUACGCUAAUACCGCAUACGAUCUACGGAUGAAAGCGGGGGAUCGCAAGACCUCGCGCGAUUGGAGCGGCCGAUAUCAGAUUAGGUAGUUGGUGAGGUAAAGGCUCACCAAGCCGACGAUCUGUAGCUGGUCUGAGAGGACGACCAGCCACACUGGGACUGAGACACGGCCCAGACUCCUACGGGAGGCAGCAGUGGGGAAUUUUGGACAAUGGGCGCAAGCCUGAUCCAGCAAUGCCGCGUGCAGGAUGAAGGCCUCGGUU
rnacentral:rRNA from 1 species